rnacentral:lncRNA from 1 species
CAGUUUUCGGUGGACACAACAUCUUUAUUUUAUCUUAUGUGGUGCUAAGGAUCGAACCCAGUGCCCCGCGCAUGCCAGGUGAGCGUGUUACCGCUUGAGCCACAUCCCCAACCCCUUGCUAUAUUUUUAACAUUCCCUCACUUAAAAGGGGGCUGGGGACACGGGUGAGACCAUUUAACCUUCGAGGCCUUUCUGUCUCUUCUCUUCCCAUUGCUCGGUCCUGAGAGAGUCUCCAAGGCAGUGUACUCGAGAUCCAGGCUGGCCAAGCCUGCCUGCUUGUGCUCACAGAGACGGACAUGUCUGCUUUGUGUGUCAGCCAUGGAAACAGGACAGACUGCACCUGAAAGGGUGCUGGGAACAGUUCCAAGAGGGUGGGCUGUGAGGGAGGCCGGGAGGCUCCUGCCGUGCGGACAGUCACUGAGUUCCUCUCGCUGAAAGGAACAGGUCCACCAUGGGUGCUGUGGUGACGGAGCCAGAACAUGAUUUGGACUGUCCAAGGGGACCUCUAGGCCAGGUCUACAAGGUACUCAAGAGUGACUUAAUUAUGACCCUACGGCUCAGCAUCUACUCUGCCAGGUGCUUCACACGUGUCACCUACCCGCAUGUCCUCUCCAUCAGAGCGACCAGCCCUGCCAUGCCGGGUGUGAGCCCCAAGUGUGGUCAGGACUCCUCUGCAGCGAGGCUUCCCCGGACAGCGCUGCUUCGCCCGUGCUUUCUGCUGUCUGGGGUGCCAUGAGUCGCCCAGGCACCCGUCAGGAGCUGACGGAACAGAACACGCUGCCUGUGAAAGGUCGUCCAGACUCUCCCUGAACUAAGUUAGGAAUCGGCCUUUUGGUAUCGAGUGAUGUUUUCACACUUCACACCACGGGCGGCAUGAAAUGAUGAUCUUUCAGUGUUUAUGCACAAACUCACCAUUGCAUUCGGAGUGUCAGAGAGUGGGCCUGAUGCUAAAUCGAGAACCUUUUAAGGUCAUCCCCAUCGAGAGAAGGACAGCUUCAGCCACCAGGAUUCUCAGAAGAUCCAGAACCCCUGCCCACCAUCCAGGAGGCAUCGUCCGUCCAGCCAUUUGACCAGGGAGAGGCACGCUGACUGGUGGCUGUGGGCUGGCAGCAAGGGCGGGCCAGCUCCCCGCGCCUGUCCACUCCCAGUGCAGCGGCCUGCUGGGCUGUUCUGCCUUGUGGAGCAUGGUCAAGGCCACAUGGUGCAUGAGGAAGACAGCCAGAAGGGAGGGGCUGCACAGGCCGUCCUUGUGCCCAGGGACUGACUGGGCUUCAGGCGCUAGAACGGGCGGGCCCUGCCCCAGUCUCCACCAGCCCUCCCUGUGUCCCCAAAUAGAGGAAAGGAUCUCAGAAACUCGCUUUCCAGUUGAAUUUUAAGUUGGGAGCGGCUGUUCCCUAUCAUUAGUACCUGAAGAGCUCAACCUUAAAGUUCACGAGCACAUCCCAGGGAGAGCGCCGUCUUGGCAGCUUGGAGAUGAUUAGUUACUCCAGAAAUCUCCGGCCUCUCUGUGCUAAUUGAGUUUGAAAUUCCAGCCAGACUGGCUGUCCCCCAGGGCAGCAUGCGCUGGAGUGUGGUGCCCAGGGAGCAGGCAGGCCUGCCCCUGCCGGCUUGGUAAAGACCAUGGACCGUCCCUCAGGAAGGCGAGGACAAGGCGCAGGGAGUGACCUGGCACAGGUAGGUGGGGUGGAGAGGAGGGGAGGAGGCACCCCAGGCUGGGAUGGCUUGUUGCCAGCACGUCACUCACGUGUCCUUGGCUCUGUCUCAGUCAUGGUCUUGCUUCCUUGAUUACAAAAGGAAUCCAUGUGUUCCUUUUGUAGAAAAUCAGGUACCGUGAAAAAGCGAAGAAAACAAUACCUGUGACCCCCACGUGGUAGGUGAGCGCUAGAGCCCUGGGGCGCAUCUUUCCAGGCCUGUGUGUGUGGCAGAAAAGGAGGUCAUGCACAUGCUCUUCUGAAACCCGCCUUGCCCCUGAGCAAAGGCCAAGCUGCUGUGUCACGGCCCACAGCUACGGUGGCUCAGAGGCCACAGACACUGUCUCCCCUUCACCUCCAGGGUGGGGACAGAGCUCAGCUUGCCUAGCGACACGAGACUCUGGCUUCCGCCCCCUAUCCCGGAAGAGAAGAGAAGCGCUCCAAGCAGCGCGGACAGUUCCACUCCGUGUCACUCAGGGUUCCUGGGCCCUCUCUUAGGACGUGGUCUGCAUGGUGGCAGUUGUCACUGUUUUAGUCAGCCUUUUCAAUGCUGUGACCAAAAGACCCCACAAGAAUGGUGUUAGAAGAGGAUAAGUUUACUUGGCACUCAGGGUUUCGGAGGCCUCAGUCCUUAGAAGGUCGGCUCCGCGGCUCUGGCUGAGGUGAGGCCACACAUGGCGGAAGGUUGUGGUGGAGGCAGGCAGUCGGGCCGACCGAGAGCCGAGAGAGCUCACCAGGGACAAAAUACGAGCCCCAAAGGCACAGCCCCAGUGACACCAUCCUCCAGCCACACCCUACCUGCCGACAGUUACCAUCCAGUUGGUCCAUACUAAUGGAUCAGUCCCCCAUUAGGCUCCCAUAACCCAAUCAUGUCACCUCUAGCCCUUCUUGAUUGUCUCCCAUGAGUCUCUGAGGAGCACCUCAUGUCUGACCCAUAACUGACACAUUCCCAGUUUGCAGAAAAGGAAAGGCACACAGGGAUCAUAUGCCAGCAUUUUGAGUGUCAGACCCCAUCCCGGCAGGCAACAGUUCCUCUGCGUUUCGUUAACAAAAGCCCAAUGCCUGGCAGCAAGGGCUGCUGGGAAGCGCCUACCAACUGAGAGCGGCUGUUAGCUGACAGCGCCAUUUCCUUGAGGAUCACCCAAGUGGUGCCUUGUGUCGCCAGUCUUUUUCGUUGCCAAGUAAUGCUCCGCAGUGUGUAUGUACCACGCUAUUUAACUGCUUAACCCUUUGGGGGAUAUCUGGGUGGUCCUAAAUUGGGGCCAUUCCAAAGAAGCUGCUGAGCCUUGUGUACUAGCCUCUGCAUGAAAAUAAGCUUUCCUUUCUGUGGGAUGUGCCCAUGCAUAUAAUUGUUGGGUCAUGAGAUAAGUUCAUUUUUAAUUUCAAAAGGAACGGCCAAGGGCUGGGAUGUGGCUCGGUGGUGGUGG